ensembl:lncRNA
GGGGUUAUGAAUAUUGACAGAUGUGGAGGGGAAGAUGAAAUAAUGUCCAACGCAUAUGUGCCAUCGGGACCGCGUGUGCACCCGCGCUGCCGACGGCAGAACAGCAGGAGGGAAACUAGCGUGAGUUAUUACAAAGGUAAGUAUUUCUGCUUAAGUGUAAGUGUGUGUGUGUGUGUGUGUGCGUGUGCGUGUGUGUGCCAGUGUUGCCCAGCAGUGACAAUUAGGUCAGCUUUGUCACAUUACCUCCCCCCUCUCCAAGCCACGCACUGACUGGGAACCGGGACAGGUAGUCGGCGACCACAUUCUGUUUGCCAGGUCGAUGUCGUAUCUUGAAGUUGUAUGGUUGCAGGGACAAGUACCAUCUUGUAACUCUGGCAUUAUGGUCUUUCAUCGAUUGGAUCCAGGUCAAUGCUCUGUGAUCAGUUUCAAGAUCGAAUUCUCGCCCAAGGAGGUAGUACCGUAAGCUGUCAAGGGCCCACUUGAUGGCAAGACAUUCCUUUUCUAUGGUAGAGUAUCGGGUUUCCCUGGGCAACAGCUUGCGGCUAAGGUAAACAACUGGUUUUUCUUCUCCUGAACUUCCUUGUGCCAACACUGCACCAAUUCCUGUCGCUGAAGCAUCCACUUGUACAAGGAACCGUUGUGAGAAAUCUGGACUCUGUAGGACUGGGCUGGAACACAUCUUUUCUUUCAGAGUGUUGAAUGCUGUCUCACAAUCCUCAGUCCAAGGAACUGGAUUGCUUACUGACUUACUCAGUAAGUCAGUCAAGGGUACUGCAAUUGAGGCAAAGUUUGGCACAAAUCUUCUGUACCAGCCCACUAACCCUAGGAAAGACCUCACCUCCUUCUUUGUUCUGGGUCUUGGGCUCCGCCGAAUUGCCUCCACCUUGUCCACCUGUGGUCGCAGCUGGCCAUUGCCUAGGUGGUAUCCAAGGUAUCCAGCUUCUUGACGCGCCCACUCACAUUUAUUUACAUUCAGUGUCAACCCAGCUGCCUGUAUCUUCUCCAAGGUUUGUCGCACAUGCUGAAGAUGCUCAGGCCAGGAGUUACUGUGGAUCACCACAUCGUCCAAAUAAGCAGCAGACCAUUCCUCGCAGCCCUGGAGGACUCGAUCCAUUAACCUCUGGAACGUGGCAGUAGCCCUUGCACAGAUCCAAGGUGGUGAUAAACUGAGCCUGUCCAAUUUUCUCCAAUAAAUCAUCCACUCGUGGCAUUGGGUAGGCAUCAAACUUUGAUUGCGCAUUCAGUCUACGAAAGUCGAUGCAGACACGCAGUGUCCCAUCCUUCUUUGGUACGAUGACCAUGGGACUACUCC